GACGAACGCUGGCGGCGUGCUUAACACAUGCAAGUCGAACGGACCUUCGGGUUAGUGGCGAACGGGUGAGUAACACGUGGGUGAUCUGCCCUGCACUUUGGGAUAAGCCUGGGAAACUGGGUCUAAUACCGGAUAGGACUACGCACUGCAUGGUGUGUGGUGGAAAGCUUUUGCGGUGUGGGAUGGGCCCGCGGCCUAUCAGGUUGUUGGUGGGGUGAUGGGCUACCAAGGCGACGACGGGUAGCCGGCCUGAGAGGGUGACCGGCCACACUGGGACUGAGAUACGGCCCAGAUUCCGACGGGAGGAAGCAGUGGGGAAUAGUGCACAAUGGGCGCAAGCCUGAUGCAGCGACGCCGCGUGAGGGAUGACGGCCUUCGGGUUGUAAACCUCUUUCGCCAGGGACGAAGCGCAAGUGACGGUACCUGGAGAAGAAGGACCGGCCAACUACGUGCCAGCCGCCGCAGUAAGAC
rnacentral:rRNA from 1 species